rnacentral:rRNA from 1 species
UACAGAGGGUGCAAGCGUUAAUCGGAAUUACUGGGCGUAAAGGGCACGUAGGUGGCUAUUUAAGUUGGAUGUAAAAUCCCCGAGCUUAACUUGGGAAGGACAUCUGAAACUGGAUAGCUUGAGUACAGUAGGGGGAAGCGGAAUUUCCGGUGUAGCGGUGAAAUGCGUAGAUAUCGGAAAGAACACCAGUGGCGAAGGCGGCUUUCUGGACUGAUACUGACACUGAGGUGCGAAAGCGUGGGGAGCGAACAGG